AGUAAGCUUCAAAACACUGGACCUGGGCAGAUAUCAACCCUCUAAGGUAACUUGAAUGAUGAGAAGCACCUUAAGAAAUGUUCAACAUCCUCAGUCAUCAGGAAAAUGAAAAUCAAAACAACUCCGAGAUUCUACCUCAUACCAGUCACAAUGGCUAAGAUCAAAAACUCAGGUAACAGCAGAUGUUGGCAAGGAUGUGGAGGAAGAAGAACAUUCCUCCUUUGCUGAUGGAAUUGAAAGCAGAGUUGGGGAAGAGCUACAAGGUCACUGAGGUAAUGCAAAAGUUCCUGCCCUCAGCAAUGACGGGGAAUGGAGAAUGGCUAGAAGAUGGAGUGUCUUGAAAGGUUUAUGCCCUUAGAGGACAAUACAAGGGAUGAGUAGGAGAGACCCUGCUUGUCAUUGCUAGACCACCUGGGACUCUUCUUCACUGGCAUGGCCACCUGCAACUGCUUCCAGAACCUGCCCUGAGGAUACUUGGAUUUCUCUCCUUUCCAUUUAAUGACCGUGAGCACCGUCUUAGCCCGCUUCAGCUCUUUCACCUUCAUGUCCUUCACAGCUUUGUACUGCACUAAAAUGACGUUGAUGUUGCCCCGGGAGGCCAUAUUUUCUAGGCCAGCCUUGAGCUCCAGGAGGGCUUGUGUUCCCUGGAGCACGUAGUUGGGACUUAGGACAACCAGGAGUCGUCUGCUUUUCUGAAUGAAGCUCAGGGUCUCAUCUGUGACAACUGGGAAAGAAAACACCAUGGGGAUUAGUGUUGGCCAAGAACUACCUGAUUCAAAGAGGUGAAGGAUGGAAGAUAGGGAACUUGGAACGACAGCCUGGGAAACAAGGCUGAAACAGCUUUAUCAGCAACAGUCCUAGUAACUUUCUCUUUAACCACACUGUUCCUGGAAUGUCACUCUGAUGAGGAAAAAAAAAUGGAGUCAUAUAUAAAUGCCCAACUCUCCAAAUGUUUCCAAAUGACUAAAACUAAAAUAUGGUGGAAUAUGAUGGGCUGCUGUUACCCAGUUCCUCAAAGGCCCUAUUUGAACCAGAUGGAAUAGAUAUAUUGUAGUGACAUCACUUUCUUCAAAUAGUGUUGCAGCUCAGACAAAGAGGCUCCUGAAAGAAAAUACUAUCUUCUAUGAAACGUCUUCACACAAAUAUGAACUUCAGAGUCAAAGCCCCCAAGUUGCAGCUGCAGCUAACCAAGGACAACACCAGGGAAUGCCAAAUUUGAGUCUGUCUCUCUGUCUCUCUCUCUCUGUCUCUCCCUCUCCCCCUCCCUCCCUCUCUCUCUUUCUCUGCUGAUGUGUACUUUCCUGAUGCCAACUGAUGUCACUGUUGCUAGAUUAGUAACUCAAGCAAAUGGCAUCUUGGCAAGCAGUGUAUUCCCCCAUCAGCUCUUUAGUUUUCUCUGUUGUGGAGAUGAAAUAAAACAUGCAUAUUUCUCUUUAA
rnacentral:lncRNA from 1 species